UACGUAGGCAGCAAGCGUUGUUCGGAGUUACUGGGCGUAAAGGGUGUGUAGGCGGUUGUUUAAGUUUGGUGUGAAAUCUCCCGGCUUAACUGGGAGGGUGCGGCGGAAACUGGAGUGCUAGAGGGUGGGAGAGGAAAGCGGAAUUCCUGGUGUAGCGGUGAAAUGCGUAGAUAUCAGGAGGAACACCUGCGGUGUAGACAGCUUUCUGGACCACUUCUGACGCUGAGACACGAAAGCGUGGGUAGCAAACAGG
rnacentral:rRNA from 1 species